AGCCCGCUCAGCUGUAAGAGAGAAACACAUUUCAAUAAGGAGAGAAAACGUCAGCUCCCACAGGCCAACAUCCUAAGAACAGAUUACUACAGGACUUUUCAAGUGAGGUAGUGCAUCAAAGUUAUCAAGUCAUUUAGUCUGCAAUCCAUCUACGGAGACAAGCAACUAAACGUAUGAGCAAAUGAUCUGGAAAAAAAAAAAGGUGCUAUCCCUGAAUUCAGAAUUCAGUCCAAUUUCUUUUAUUUUCAGUUUCUGAGAAUAAAAAUCCAAUCACCAAAAUGGAUACAACUGA